UUACACCAAAGCAUGGACCGCAAAUCACCGGUGGCCAGCCGCGUUACCAAAUUGAUGACAUUGUGCGCGUGAAUUGUACAUCGGCGCCGUCCAAGCCGGUGUGUCAUCUCAGUUGGUUAAUUAAUGGUGUACAUGCGAACCGGACAUUCCUGCGGCCAUACGAUCCCAUAAUUGUCGGACGUGAGGGCUUGGAGGUGGCGCGGUUGGGAUUGGAAUUCCGAGUGCGUAAAAAAUUCUUCAAACAUGGUGACAUGAAAUUGAAAUGUGUGGCAAAAAUAUCAUCGGUAUAUUGGCAAAGCAAUGAAGAGAGCGUGGCACAUGAGAAACAUCAGAAAAUACCCGUACUGGAAUCGCGGGAAACCGUUGUGGCCAAGUCACGAUUGCGGGACAAAGCAUUAGAAGAUAAUCAACUUAAAGAUGCUGGCACGUCAUCAGCAGCCACAUCAUCGGCGGCAGCGUUCUUGCCAUUAGCGACUCGUAAUUCGAUACUUUUGCAUAUCACACCCACACUGCUGCUGCUCGCUCUGCCCGACUUAGCAGCCAUGCUGCCACUGUUAAUAGCAUUUCUGUGUCAAUAUUGGCAAUUUAAUAUUUAUGUGCACCAACCAAGCUAUCGAUUGCCGGUAUGUUACGGCUGCAGCAGCUACUGGCGAUGGUCGCACAGCAUUCGAACCGUUGGCAGAUGACAAUUAGCUGUGGCAUAUUAAAUAGGAGCGCAAGCAAUGACAGUUGCAGUGGCAGUGGGAACGACAGCUAGAAGACUGCUCGGUCAUCAUCAUUGAUUAGUUCAUCUCUAGUUGGGUAGAAUUGCUAGCAUCGUAAGCGCUUGAUAACUGUGUGAGUAUGCGAAAGAAUGGAGGCAAGGAAAGACAAAAGGAAAGUGAGCUGAAGGAAAACAUUUGUGACUGUUAUUGACUUAGUUUAAUAAAGAAAAAGAAAUAGUAUAAUAGAAUAAGAGGAAUAGUA
rnacentral:misc_RNA from 1 species